UACGGAGGGUGCAAGCGUUGUCCGGAAUCACUGGGCGUAAAGGGCGCGUAGGCGGCUCAUGAAGGCUGUGGUGAAAGUCCGGGGCUCAACCUCGGAUCGGCCGUGGCGACUCGUGGGCUGGAGCACUGUAGAGGCGGGUGGAAUUCCGGGUGUAGCAGUGAAAUGCGUAGAGAUGCGGAGGAACACCGAUGGCGAAGGCAGCCCCCUGGGCUGACACUGACGCUCAGGCACGAAAGCGUGGGGAGCAAACAGG
rnacentral:rRNA from 1 species